AAUAGCUUUCACAUCAUUUUCAUUAGUUAUAUUUUAUUUAAAAAUUCGUUUCUUCGCUUUGGUUUCAUUUGUUCGAGCAUAAUUUAACAAAUAAUGAAAGCUCUGUACAAAAGAUUUCUAUAAUUUUCCGUGCUCACCAACUUAGAGUAAACAUUUGAAUUCUUAUUCCCAUAACUAUUACAAAAUUAAAGCUUAAAAUUCUACAUGUUUUUAUGUCUCAAAAGUACCUCAGUUUUGUAUCGAAGCUCUUGGUUGAGUUACUUGAAUACCAUUUGGCCUACAAUUCUCUGAAAAAGUUUCGCAAAAUAGAGCCUCUUAAACAAAAACUGAGCUUAAGUUUUUUUGAGUACUAAAAAUGUGUGCAAAAACAUUUUGAGUUCUGGUUUUGUAAUAAAACAAAGAUCGAAAUUAAGCCCUCCAAUUUAUUUAUAUUUUUUUAUAAUUUGAAAAUAGUUCUAAAAGUUCCAAAAUUGUAAAUAGAGGAAAAGAGUACAUUGCAGGAUUGUGUUAAAUGUUGUUUAUGUCUAGCAAAUAAGAAAAUAAAAAAUAUUUAUUUUUAUGAUCAAUGUGAAUAUAAACAGCAAAAGAAAUAAAACUCCAAGCAAAUGUUAAGUGUGGCAAAAAUAAUCUAGGGAAACCGCAAAAGUCAUGUUUGUAGCAACAAGAAAUUACUUUAUGGAAAUUGUAAAAAUUAUUUAAGUAAGCAAAAUAAGAACAAAACUUAACUGUAGUUAAAAGUUAGGGGUAAGUAACACAAACAUUAAAAGCAAAACAUAAAAUUGACUAUUUGCCGUGUAAGAAAUAAACUUAAACCUAUAGGUACACUGAAAAAAAUAUCUAGAGUUCUAAGGAAAAAACAGCUGCUAUUGUAAAAUAUUUCAUAGGGAAAAUAUUGCAAAUCUGAUUUUAUAAAAUCAAACGAUCAAAAGCUAUUUAAAGCAAUUGAAAUAUACUAACAUAUAUAUUUUUUUUUGUAUAAUAUGCGGUGCGCAACUAUUUAAGAGGCAUGUAAAAUGGUUGGUUAAAAGUAGUUUUAAAUUAUUGCAUAAAUGUGUUAACAAAUGAUGUUGCAACAAUAUGAUAAAAAUUAAAAAAAAUAUAUGAAACGCUUUUGUAAUUAAUUUCACACUUGAAAAUAUUAUGGAAGAAUAAGGUGAAUGGUGGUAUUUAAGCCAUAAACAAAAUAAAGGAAGCAGAAAGUCAUAAGAGGAUAAAAACGGUAGUAUUAGAAACAUGACGAAGGCAACAGGCUAGCUUAGCUUUUACUGAAUACCGAAAAAAUCUCAAAAAACGCUUUAAAUAAGCUGCAGGGUUCCAUCGAAUGGCGAAAGCUUUUUUUUUUUAAUUUUAUGAGAAUAAAUUAAGCAAGUCUGGGAUAAAUGAAAGCUCUUUAAAUGAAGCUAGACAAAAUCUGAGAAAAAUGAAAGCUCUUUUAAUGAAAGUAUGCUAGGUUAUAUAAUUGAACUUGAACUUAGUAAGGUGGUAAAAAUCCUACGGCUUUGAACAUUAAAUUAGUGAUAUCUUCAGUAAACGUCAACGUCACAAUUAAGCUCAAUUUAAAAUAUUGGAUUCUUAAACUUAGAAAAAAGCUUUCCAAAACUGUAUAUCUAUUCUCUUGGUUGAUAAUAUAUACAUUUUUGUUUGUUUUAAUUAAAAAAAUACUUUGAUGUUUAAAAGAAACAUUUGUAGUAACCACUUUACUCUAUUUUGUUAUCAAAAGCUCCAAUGGCACUUCAAUUUCUAGUCUAGUCUGUGACUUUAGCUAAACACUUUAAACUACGACAAACUAUUUUAUUUUAUAGCUGGGACUUUUAAGUGAAUGCAAAAGCUCAUUGGAAUACAAAGAUUUUAUUUUUUUCCCACAACGUCUUAAAGCUUCGCCUGCAAGUCAAAGCUCUUUCAAUUUAAUAGUAAACUUUUUUAAUUCGGAAGUUUACAGAUGUGUAUGUAAAGCCCUCAACAUAAAGAAAGCUCUCAAUUAUCAAAAAAAAAAACUAAUUGGAAUACAAUAAUUUAAUUUUUUAUUUGAUAUUUAAAAGCUUUGUAAAAAGUGAAAUUUGAAGUAUUUCGGCAGUGAUUAAAAAGCUCAUUGGAAUACAAAAAUUUGAUUUUCUCAAACAGCAUCUAAGAGGUUCGGCUUCGGAUUUUUAAAUCUAAGUUUGACUUAAAGCUCUUAAUAUAUGAGAAGCUCUCAAUUAGGUAAGAAGAUUUCUGUUAGAGAGUGAAAAAGCUCAUAAAAAUACAAAAAUUUUAUUUUCUCAAACAACAUCUAAGAGCUUCGUCUUCGGAUUUUUAAUUCUAAGUUUUACUUAAAGCUCUUAAUAUUGGAGAAGCUCUCAUUUAUGUGAGAACAUUUCUGUCAGAGAGUGAAAAAGCUCAUAGGAAUACAAAAACCUUCGCAAUUAAAUUUAAAGUUUUUUUGCAGUGAUUUUAAAAGCUCAUUGGAAUACAAUAAUUAUAUUUUUUAUAGGAUAUUUUAAAACUUUGUUUAAAGUGAAAGCUCCCAUGAUUUAAUAAUGGGCAAUUUUUAGUGCCCAAGCUUCCAGUUGAAAAUCUGAAAUUCUCAACAUUAUGAAAGCGCUUGAUUAAAUUUGAAGAUGUUUUGUGGCAGUGAUUGAAAAAGCUCUUUGGAGUACAAUAAUUUAAUGUUUUGUAUGAUAUUUUAAAGCUUUGUAUAAAGGGAAAACUUUCAUAUUUUAAUAAUGGACAAUUUUUAGUUUCGAAGCUUGCAGUUCCAAAGCUUGCAGUUGGAAAUCUGAAGCUCUCAACAAUAUGAAAGCUCUCGUUUACAUGUGUUUCGUAAAAGCUAAGGGAGUUUGUGCGCAAACGUUAAACGGAAUACAAACAAACGCCAAUUUGAAGACAUACAAAACAAGAUGUUGAUUAUAGGUAUUAUGUAGAUGUUAAUGAAAAGCAAAUGAAUUCAAAAUUCAAAAUAUUAAAUAAAAUUAAAUGUGAACAUAAGUAGCUAUUAAUAACGUAUAAGAAAUAAUAGACUUUAAGUACACAAAUUCAAUGAUGAAGACAACAAAAAGCUAGUCGUAAUGUUAACUGAUGGAAAAAAGAACAACAAAAGAAUUAAUAAAAGCUGAAAAUAACAAAAAAAACUAUAAUAAUAAAUAAUUGAGUUGAAUAAAAGUAACUUAUUUACAAUGCUUAAUAUUUAAGAAUUAUAUUUAAUAAAGAAUUGUGCAUAUAAAUAAAAUAACAACAGAAACAAAAUACUAAGAGCGCAAAAAAAAAAUAAAAAAUUUUGGAAAUAACAUGUUUUGGUAAGCAAAAAAAAGCUAGAAAAAAAUAAAAUUACAGCAAACAGUAAGGCAGUAAUAACAACAAUAACACUUAAAACCGCGCCGUUAUAAAAGAAAUAGAUCGAAUGCAUUCAAAUGGGGAAAAAUAGCCAAUUUAGAUAAAAGAAAAGCCGAAAACACAUUGAAGCAUAACAGUGCUUAACAGCCAACAGAUGAAUGAAUAACAAAGCAAAGACGAAUGUUUCAAACAACUACAGAACAUGAAUUAAAUGAACCAACAAAAUGAAACACAAAUUUAAAUAAAAGAAAUGAAAAACAAA